CGGCCUCCCAAAGUGCUGGGAUUACAGGUGUGAGCCACCAUGCCCAGUUGUUCUUUCUUCUUUAUUUGAAUAUGUGAGCUCAAUUAUAGUGGAAGUGAAUUGAGAGUAUUAUGGCAUAUAAAACUGGAACCAACGAGUCUCAAAUCACUUCAUAUCGUUUUCCUGGAAUGGUUUUUAGGGUAAGCACAAUAUUUAAUCAGUUGAUAUCAGUUCUGGUCCUUAUCACUUGUAAAUGAGUGUGAUUGUUCAGUUUAAUAACAAGUGCUCAUGAACCCCAUUACUAAAAAUAUGAGAUAUAGCUCCUAGAAUACAAUCGUACCCCAGUGCCACCUAGAGGAAAGAAUUUGCAUCGAGAGGCUGGGCAUGUCUGUUUCUGUACAUCCUGGCCACUGAGGUACCGCUUUUGCCUUUUGUAUUUCUUUUGUAAAAUGAGGCCAUCCACAAGACUAGUGUGUCAUAGAAAUAAUUACAUAAAAUUUCUUAUAACUGAAGUCACUAACUAGUAAUAAUUUUAAGGAAGGCAUGCUAAUACUUUUAAUUAAAAGACUGUAAUUUAGGCUAAAGAAAAACCUACUGACUAAAAGUGAACAUUACUUUUAAUUUACAACACAGAAAGCUGUUGAAAAAUAAAAAUAACUGGCCAUCUUAGGGCUCAAGCCAGCUCUGAUGCCAGAAUUUUUCCUAUUCUAUUCUUGAGAUAUUGGCUGAAAGCUACCUGCUGUGUCUUCCUAAUCUUAGAAUUCCCCUUCCUGGUAAGUGUGUUGUCUGUCUUAUUAUACUUACUAUGAGAAACGGACAUUUGCGCCAUUUAGAGAGACUGACAAUAAGAAUAAUAUCAUUUACUGAGCACUGGCUUUGAACCAGGAGAAUGCACACAAAGUGAUAAUAACUCUCAGCACAGCAGCUGGGAUUGAAAUCCUGAAGGUCUUGCCUCCUAGUCCAUUUUUUUUUUAAGACGGAAUCUUGCUGUGUUACCAGGCUGCAGUGCAGUGGUGUGGUUUUGGCUCACUGCAACCUCCACCUCCUGGGUUCAAGUGAUUCUUCUGCCUCAGCCUCCCAAGUAGCUGGGAUUACAGGCACGUGCCACCAUGCCUGGCUAAUUUUUGUAUUUUUAGUAGAGAUGGGGUUUCACCAUGUUGGACAGGCUGGUCUUGAACUCCUGACCUUGUGAUUUGCCUGCCUUGGCCUCCCAAAGUGCUGGGAUUACAGGUGUGAGCCACCGCGCCUGGCCCUAGUCCAUUAUUUUUUAUAUCAGCGUUUUUUAAUUUAUAAAAAACAGAAAGUUAAGAAGUUACUUAGGUCAAGCACGCAGGCAGGAGGUAGGGAUACAAAGAUGACUGCUAAAAUGUGUUUGCCUUUACGAGGUUGUUCUCUAGCUGGGGGCUAACAUCCCCAAUCCUGAUGUGAUGUGAUGUGAUCAGAGGGAGGACGGGAGAAUUGUGCUGAGUGCUGUGGAAAUGUAAGAGAGGAAGGGAUUAAUUUUAGGGUGGAGAAGGAUGGAAAGAAAUUUGGUGACAGCUUCACAGAGGAGCAGACAUUUGCACUGGUCCUCGAGCGAUGACUGCAUUCAUGAUAUGGAAAAAGUGACUUCUGGAUAAACUUAGUGGAUGCACCUCUCCUUUCUCUGGAAUUCCCAUUCAAACAACCACAUAGCGAUUUUGAAAAGCUUUAAAUUGCAAAUGAGAAAGCAGGAGUAGAGAGGAAGCUGAGAUAUUCUGGAAGCCAGAAAACCUCUGGAUGAGUGCAAAGUGACCUAGCAGAGCAGAUAUAGCAGCGGGGAAGGAAGCCCAGGCGAAAGCUGCCCAUGCAGCAGGGCCUGGAGAGGCUCAGGACCCAGAGACCCAGGAUCCUCUGAAGACGCAGGUGGGGCUGAAGCUGGGGGACUGGUUGAAAGUCUGCAGAAGUAAGUGGGUCCCUUGGUCCAGUGUGGUCAGAUAGUUAUCCCUUCCUUCUCCUGGCAGAAGACUGUGGUUCUCUGUGAAGAGACUGGACCACAAGAACUCUGGACUCAGGGACGCCAGACACAGUUAAGGUGAGAGAUCUGCUAAUGGUGAGAUCCCCUAAACCCUUCCCCACUCAUUGUUUAGGACGAUGUCAACCAGACUCCUAGGUCACCAGCGGGAUACUGGAGGAGUUCUCUCUGGGGAGACUGAGCAGCCCAAGUGAAAGGCCUACAGAUACUGACAACAGUGUAUGUCCAGUAAAACGAAUGCAGAAGAGGGCAGCUGCUGAUGGCUGUGGGUGAGGUUGGGGGACAGAAGCCAAUGCCUUCAGUCUUUUGUGGAGUCCCCACCAAAGAGGUGCCUCCUGGGAUGGAAUCUGAACCUUGACCCCACUGGAGCCUGGGUAUGUUGGCAAACUGACGAUGGGAGAUGCGAGGCCAGCAUGUUUGCCUGAGUCUGGGAGAAUGCUCACCUUCCGCAGGAGGGGAAGCAGGAUUGCGCGUCUCCAACACUGGAGGGGAGAGCUGCUUCCGGGCAUCAACCAAUGUGCAGGGGAGGAUUGGGCGUUUUAUGGCACGUGUGAGAGACCCCGAGGGGACCCCAGGAAAUAUGAAGCCUGGGAGUGAGGGGGAGGUCUGUGUGGGUGGGCAAGGCUGGGGGCCGGUUGAGGGGGUUGGUGGGAUUUGGAGGUGCGGAGUGGAGGUGGGUCUCGUGUUGGGAAGUGUAGGCCAGCCCCAGUGCGGCUUGGAAUUCUUACAAUCGAUGUGAUCUUGUUGGCACCCAUAGACGGGCGAAGCUUUGAGGAGCCUCUAGUUGUACCCACACUCUAGAUAAGCCUGCCCACUGCACGCCUUGUCAGUGUGUCUAGAUGCGCUUCUCAGUCCUGCCAGGUGACUGGCCCUGCCUCUUGUGCUGCUGCAGACACAAGCGCGCGGCUUCUGAUUCGAUGGGCUUUCCAUCAGUUUCCACAAUACCCGCCAAGUCUGAUUUCCUUCCUAGCUUUAUAAAGAUUCCUUCACGCCCUCCCCCCAUCCCAACUCCUAUACUCCGCCCAGGCAACUGCCCUGGCCUUUUUGGGCUGUGAGGGGGCAUGCCACUCAACAUUGCACACGUGCUAUUUCAGUCACAUGCCACAGGCAGUUCUCCUUUAUCAGAGGGAGCCAGCCCCUAACAACAUUGUCAAGCAUAGAUCCUCGUGGACAAAACUUUGCAGAUGACAUAUUUACUAAAGGUUAGCCCUGCUUAUCUUUUUUUUUUUUUUUUUUUUUUUUGAGACAGAAUCUUGCUCUGUCACCCAGGCUGGAGUGCAAUGGCAGGAUCUCGGCUCACUGCAACCUCCGCCUCCUGGGUUUAAGCAAUUUUCCUGCCUCAGCCUCCCGAAUAGCUGGGACUACAGAUGCGUACCACCACGCCUGGCUAAUUUUUGUAUUUUUAGUAGAGAUAAGGGUCCGCCAUGUUGGCCAGGCUGGUCUUGAACUCCUGACCUCGUGAUCCACCAGCCUUGGUCUCCCAAAGUGCAGGGAUUACAGAUGUGAGCCACCACGCCUGGCCAACUCUGCUUAUCUUUAAAUAUGAUUGGAUAAAUCAAAGUCAGUUUGCCAAAAUGUCUUAAGUUUUCAAUUUCAGUCAAUGCAGUAAAUGUUUUGGGGAGUCUGCAGUGUAUCGGGCACUGGCUCAAGCACUAUCAUUUUACCAAUGCCCUUUGGACACUAGUUAUUCUUGCAAAAGGUAUAGAGUUCUUUUUAAGUAUUUACCAUUACUGAUACUUCCAUAAUAUAAUGUCUUUUUUCAUUAUAUCUUAAUUUUUUUGCUGGUAUCUGGGAAAAUUGUUUAAAUGUUUUUCUUACCACUUCAUUGAAAAAUUUUGUUAAUUCUAACUUUAAAAUCUCAAUUUCUGCCCUUUGUGGCAUAAUACUGUCAUUUGCGAAUUUUUCUCUUUAUUUGCAAUAUCUAUAUCUCUGAAUAAAAUUUCUAAGCACUUUGUAACUCAGUGGAGACUUUUAAUUCAAAUUAUAAAAAGUGCCAAAAAUUUACUUUAUUUCCAUUAGAACUAAUAUGAUACAUUUGGGUAUGUGGAUGCAUAAUAUGUAAUGAUGAAGUGUGUUCUUUGUAGAUGGCUGCAGCAGUUUAACAGAAUUCAAUUUUAUUUCUUACCAGAGAAGCAUAUAUUCCAGCAUGUAAGUUAUUUUUGGAAGUUAUAUUUAUAGAACAACUGUACCAGAAAGGGGGUUUAAUAAAUAUUUCACUGAAAGUUUGAUUAAGUGUCAUAUAUGAACUUUUGUAGUCUUUGCCUUUUAAUCCUCAAGUUGCAUAUUUGUUAAAUAUGUUGGAUUCUUGGGCAUCUGGUCCAUGUAACAGGCUGGUUCCUGGGAGAAGAGUGGGACAAGGACUGGAUCCUGGAAAAGAAAAUAGGAGUCUGUGGUGUAGGUCUUUUUGGGAAGAGAUGGCGGUUCAUAGACAUGAUAUCCACCGGAGCUGGGGCCCUGGCCUCAGACAUAGACAACAGGAUGAAAAGUCUAUGAUGAAUACUUUGAACAUGAGGACUUGUUUGUAACACAAGACAUUUUUAGAUCUCUUUAUAGGUGUGCCAGUUACCUAUUUAUGGCCUCUCAGCUCUAACCCCACCCUUCAUUGCCUGCUCUAUGAUAAUGGAGCUGGGCCUUGUGAGUAUCUCCCCUUUGCAGCUGGCAUAUUGUUAAACUCUGUUAGCAGAGGGCACUAGAUGGACAGUAAAGAAGAAUGGGCAUCACUUCCAGGUUCCAGUGUUCUGGUUUUGUCUGUUUGUUUCUUUUAAAUCCUACUGUGGCAGCCUGUGGCAUGAAUGGAGGACAUCCAGUGGAGCCCACCUUCAUUGAGUUUCAGGGGCCUCCGCACAGGCAGAUUCUCAGUGAGUCUAGCAGGCACCUUAGUGGUCAGCUUCUCAGCCUUGAGCCUCCUUCAUCCUAGCAGGGUGUUUCCUGUGCCAGUCCCAGCUGCAGCUCCUUGCCCAUAGCUUGGACCACCAGCAGCCAAUGGGAGGCUUCUAGCCUGCCAGUCCCAGCUCAUGUUACUCUGUCUGCCACCCUCUGCCUAGCUCUGGUGGACUGGCUCUGGCUCAGGAAAACUCAGUGAGUUUCUCCACCAUCCUGUGGGCUGCAAGCACACCUCUUCCAGUGAGAUCUGAAUCCCAGCCUUGGAGAGGUGGGUCCUCACCUUUUUAGCUUUGAUUUUUUCUUUGAGGACUCUCCUUCAUCCCUUGGGGAUUCUUUAAAGUUCUCCUUACCCCUAUGACUGACAAAAAUUCAUAUAUGACACUCAAUCAAAUUUUCAGUGAAAUAUUUAUUAAACCCCAUCUUUGUCCUUAUGUUCUAUUUAUCUCUAGGAUGUAGUUAAUCCUCUGUUAUAAUUAGCAUUUCUUUAUAUUAAAGUUUCCCUGUUAAAA